rnacentral:rRNA from 1 species
GACGAACGCUGGCGGCGUGCUUAACACAUGCAAGUCGAACGGAAAGGCCCUGCUUUUGUGGGGUGCUCGAGUGGCGAACGGGUGAGUAACACGUGAGUAACCUGCCCUUGACUUUGGGAUAACUUCAGGAAACUGGGGCUAAUACCGGAUAGGAGCUCCUGCUGCAUGGUGGGGGUUGGAAAGUUUCGGCGGUUGGGGAUGGACUCGCGGCUUAUCAGCUUGUUGGUGGGAUAGUGGCUUACCAAGGCUUUGACGGGUAGCCGGCCUGAGAGGGUGACCGGCCACAUUGGGACUGAGAUACGGCCCAGACUCCUACGGGAGGCAGCAGUGGGGAAUAUUGCACAAUGGGCGGAAGCCUGAUGCAGCAACGCCACGUGCGGGAUGACGGCCUUCGGGUUGUAAACCGCUUUCGCCUGUGACGAAGCGUGAGUGACGGUAAUGGGUAAAGAAGCACCGGCUAACUACGUG